GGGCCCUUAGCUCAGUUGGCUAGAGCGUCCCGAUGGCAUCGGGAAGGUCAGGGGUUCAAGUCCCCUAGGGUCCA
rnacentral:tRNA from 1 species